UGAGCGGAAGGAACGUAUGUUAACAUCCGGCUCAGGCGGGUCCUGAAGGUACAACAGUCGGCCUGAUGGGACAGGAGAAUGGCCUUUUGAAGACUUAGUUGUGGUGCCAGCCGGAUGACAACACUUUGCGGGGCAAGAAUAAUGUCUUACAGGAUGCAAUACAUACAGUGACUGCAAGCAGAUGAUGGACAGAUCUAGGAGGUGGCAGAGCCACAAGGUGGGG